rnacentral:tRNA from 1 species
UUUUGGUCCCGGCGCUCAAACAAAGGUUCGAAUCCUUUCGUCCCAG